CAUGGCUCUCUGAUUUUAAUAUAUAGAGAGUCAGACCUGCCCGGUGAAUAAUUUUUAACGGCCGCGGUACUUUGACCGUGCAAAGGUAGCAUAAUCAUUUGCCCUAUAAUUGAGGGCUAGUAUGAAUGGUUCGACGUAAGCAAGACUGUCUCUACAACGAUUUUUUAGAAUUUGAUUUUUAGGUGAAGAAACCUAAAUUUUAUUAAAAGACAAGAAGACCCUAUUGAGCUUUAAAAAAGUAAACAGAAUAAUAAUACAUUUAAUUUAAAAAGUUUAUCUGUUUAAUAUUUUGGUUGGGGCGACUAAGGAACAUACGAAGCUUCUUUAUUUAUUAAAGUUUUACAAAUUUUGAUCCAAUUGUUUUGAUUAAAGAAAUUAGUUACCAUAGGGAUAACAGCAUAAUUCUUUUUAAGAGUUCUUAUCGAAAAGAGAGUUUGUGACCUCGAUGUUGGACUAGAAUAUCCUGAAGAUGCAGCAGUCUUUAAGGGUUGGUCUGUUCGACCAUUAAAAUUCUACGUGAU
rnacentral:rRNA from 1 species